AAGUUAUCCUGGCCUCUCACACUCAUUCCCUCUCUUCUCCAUUAUAGAAGAUGGAUAAGAAGUCUGGAAGGCAGAAACUUCAAUUCCCUGACUUAGGGUGGUGGAGAGCAAGGGUUCUGGAGUAUAACUUAGUGUUCAGAAUGGUCCCCUUUUAUUAGCUGGAUGAGCUCAUAAAAGAAAUGGAUCAGAUGCUUCAGAGAAGAAAUAAUUUUGUAGGAAGUCAGGAGACCUAAGUUUAGUCUACUAAGACCCUUCCUUGUGUCCUUGGAUCACUGGCCUGAGUCCAGAGAAUUCUGAGCCCUGCAGCCCUUUCUGCCUGGAGGGGAACCGAGCAGGGAGGGAGCUGCACCAAACAUGCGCCCUCUGCUCCUUAGAGGCCUGAUGCUCCCUUCAGUUUACUCUGGCUUGACAGCUCCAUUUCAACCCCCACCUUGGAGAUGAGGCAGCUCAAUAUUUACUCAGCCAGAGAGGUUUGUCCAGAAGCCUGCCUCCCCAGCCUCCUCCUGUUGGCUCUGCUCUGUUGCCCCCACCCCCUUCCUUCCCGGUUCAUAGAGAGUUCAGCCCUGCAAUGGCUUGCAGCCCCCUCCACUCCCCAGCCCUGACAGAGCCGCCUGUCGGGGGACUGCUGAGGCCAGAAGAGCGGGGGAAGGGCACCAGUCAGUCGUGGGGUCAUGUCCUGGUCUCUCCACCCUUACUGGACCAGCAGCCUAGGCCUCUAGAAGAAGAGAAGACUCAGCAAAUGAUUGUCUUUUGGGGGAAGAGUGCGUGGAGAUUGGCUAAAAUGGAACUGUGGGGUUGGGGACAUGAUCCAGGACUGUAAAAGCUUCACAUAGCUGUGUGCAAUAUUAUAAACCAUGGUUUAUGGUAGAGAAACUUGGUAAAUUUGUAACAGUCUGAACUCUUUCCAAAGACACGAAAAGAGCUAAUACAAUAAAUAAGUGACACUUGGGUUUUCAGCAACACAUCUGAAAACUGAUCUCUUAUCUCCUAACAUUCUAGAAUGUAAGAUCCAUGAAGACAGGACUUUUUUUUUUUUUUUUCCUUAGAGACAAAGUCUCGCUAUGUUGUCCAGGCUAGACUUGAACUCCUGGGCUCAAGCCAUCCUCUGGCCUUAGCCUGCUGAGUAGCUGGGACUGUACAGGUGUAUGCCUACUGCACCCGGCUAAGCAGGGAUUUUUGUUUGUUUUGUUCCUUGU
rnacentral:lncRNA from 10 species